rnacentral:lncRNA from 1 species
UGCAUCAAGAGAUAUUUGUGAAUUCUUAUUCUCAUAUACCAACACGUUUCAAUGAGGGAAAUUGAAACACCAAUGUAUUAAAGAGGGAAUGAGGAAGCGUAUCUGCAUGGGAGGACAGAAAAAAUAUGAUACUUUGUCAGAAUGAAGUAAAUUCAGAUUCAGUCAGAGAAAAACAACUGCUUCCUCUUCAGCAGCACACAGGACACUGCUGCUAACAAGAGCGUAGGCCUGAAUGCCAGGAACAUGGACUCGCGACAUUCAUUUGCAAAAAGGCAAACAUGGAGGUUUUCUCAUCCAGAAAAUGCUGCAGCUUCUACCAGCACCUUGGUAACAUCUAACAGCAAGGAGCGCAGUGUGUAAUGCCUACUCAAGAUAAGAAGCCACAACCCUGAAAAGGAAUUAUCUGAAUACGAAUCCCACUGUUCUCCUGGCAGCCCUGCCCUGGCUUUGCAGCAACAAGAGCACCAAGCAGCUCAGCCAUGACACCAACUACACUUUGCCAAAGUGGUAGAAAAAGAGUUAGAGAAGCAAGCAGGAGCAGGCUGUGGACAGCCCACGUCUGCUGCAGCACAAGUGUAAGAAAAGAAUAUGAUUUGGACUACUGUAAGCCUUUCACCAUCUCCCUCAAGGAAACUGCUGAAGAUAAAAUUACAAAUGCAUCCCAGAGAAAAAAUUGAGCAGCAACUGGGUAAGGGGAAAUACAGAGUACAACUUGGACAGGAAUGCAAGAAAAGGAAAAAAAAAAAAUAAAGCAAAACCACAUUAAAGCAUAACAUGGAGAAAAGAAUAACCUGCUUGCAAACAACAGUCUACACAGCGUUUGCUGAUGCCAGCUCAAUUUAUGUAUAAUCAAUAUCCUUCUGUUUAAUUCCUCUGUGUUGAAUUCUGUAUACAGCAUUCACUUUUCUUUAGCUAGAAAACUAUUUGAAUAAUAAAACUUCAUCAUCUUUAAAGGGAAAAACAUUUAGAUUAACAUAUUAAACAUUAAAGAUCCAUGCUGAAAAUGUAAAAUGAAUGCGAGAGCUUCUCCCACUCAGCUGGUGUACAGGAGGUGAGAAGAGCAUCUUGCAUGCUAUGAAAGCAAACCAUAAUCUCCAUAAAUCUCAGGAGCUGGGAAUUUGGGUGAAGAGGCAAAGGUCAACAGAACUAUUUGUAAGGCAGUCCCUAGCUUAAAAAUUUUGAGAAAAAGAAAAUCUGCUUUGGCCUGCUCACAAAGUAGGAAACAUGGUUAAUUUAAAGAGAUCCUUCUAAACAAAAUGCAACAGAACAGAGAUUUCUUCUCUUCAUCUAAUUUGACAGAGUACUGAUGUAAUACAUGCUCUGGUUGAAAGAGGCUGGAGAACUUGGAGUAAAUGCAUAUGAUUCUCUCCAUACUCUUUCUCAUAGAGAAUGAACUUUAAAAAAACAAGUUUUAUGAGCAUGAAACCUCUUGCUCUCAUUCCUGAACAUCAGCAAAGGUUUGCCCCAUUGCAAGUCCAGACAGGGAUGCAAAAAUAGGGAAACAAUAUUUCAGGAUAUCCAUAACCUUACUUACACUGCUAACAGUUUCCAUCUCAGAUUUAUACACUAAUAAAAAGACAGAUUUAAAGAACAAUUAAAUUAAGCAUUGUAGAAGGAAACAAAACUGGCAGGAAAGAAGGAAACUCCAGUGCUGCAAACAACACUACGUAAAACAGCAUUUUGAAGCAUUCUGGAGCUAUUGUCUCAUUUCGUCAUGUGGCCAUGGAAAGCGAAGAGGGAAAAGGACUACACUAACAGUUAUCUGGGGAAGGCAACAUGCUGGAUUUAGUAUGGAGAUGGGGUUCUUGAGCCUCCAUGGUACUGAGUGAAAACAAAAUGACUUUCACAACCACGAGAAUUACCAGAGCAGUGGCUAGUGAGGAGAAAUGGCCCAGCAGCAGCAGGGAGCUUCAGUAGUGGGAAGGCUGAGUAGGCACUGUUCUGCCUAAAGGAAGCUGUAAAAAA